GGGAGAUUAGCUCAGUUGGAUAGAGCAACGGCCUUCUAAGCCGUAGGUCACUGGUUCGAGCCCAGUAUCUCUCG
rnacentral:tRNA from 1 species